AGCCCGCUCAGAAACUACAAAUGAAGUUGACGGGGGCCCGCACAAGCGGCGGAGCAUGUGGAUAAUUCGAUGCAACGCGAAGAACCUUACCUGGGUUUGACAUAUACCGGAAAGCUGCAGAGGAUCGUGGCCCCCCUUGUGGUCGGUAUACAGGUGGUGCAUGGCUGUCGUCAGCUCGUGUCGUGAGGUGUUGGGUUAAGUCCCGCAACGAGCGCAACCCCUAUCUUAUGUUGCCAGCACGUUAUGGUGGGGACUCGUAAGAGACUGCCGGGGUCAACUCGGAGGAAGGUGGGGACGACGGUCAAGUCAUCAUGCCCCUUAUGUCCAGGGCGUUCACACAUGCUACAAUGGCCAGUACAGAGGGCUGCGAGACCGUGAGGUGGAGCGAAUCCCUUAAAAGCUGGUCUCAGUUCGGAUCGGGGUCUGCAACUCGACCCCGUGAAGUCGGAGUCGCUAGUAAUCGCAGAUCAGCAACGCUGCGGUGAAUACGUUCCCGGGCCGUU
rnacentral:rRNA from 1 species